CUGGGAGAGACCAGGUCCCCCUUACAUCUCAGGCUUUGCUUCAGAGAAAAAAGCAUGACCAGCUUGAGUUCUGCUUUCUAACAGCCGUUCCUCAGCCUGCUCUGUGCGAGCAGGUUCUGUGGUGCCACAGGAUGAGUGGGCGACGUAUCAUGGAGUCGGCCAGAUGGAGUGCACCUUGGUUUAGCAGAGGCAGCUGCAGGAGAGGGUUUUUGAGACCCACAGGUUCACUUGUCCCGGCUUGCAGGACAUGUAGCUCCACAGGGCCAGUUUCGUCUCACUGAGUCCUGGGUCUGAGGAUGAAGCCCUGCUGUGGACCUUCUGAUGAACAUAAGUGCAUCCUAACCACAACCAGUCAAGAACCCUUCCUGGAUUCUGCCAGCUCUGUGGUCCCUGAUGAAGAUGUAGCUCUCAGCCCUGAUGAUGCAGCUCCCGUGCCCUGCCCGCCCGCCUGCCACUCUACUCCCUGCUAUAUUGUUCAUGGACUUACCCUCUGAAACUAUAGCCAAUCCUCCAAUUAAAUGUUUUCUUCUUUAA
ensembl:processed_transcript RIKEN cDNA 1810021B22 gene